rnacentral:rRNA from 1 species
UACGUAGGGAGCAAGCGUUGUUCGGAUUUACUGGGCGUAAAGGGCGCGUAGGCGGCGCGGUAAGUCACUUGUGAAAUCUCUGAGCUUAACUCAGAACGGCCAAGUGAUACUGCAGUGCUAGAGUGCAGAAGGGGCAAUCGGAAUUCUUGGUGUAGCGGUGAAAUGCGUAGAUAUCAGGAGGAACACCUGUGGUGUAGACGGCUUUCUGGACCGUAGCUGACGCUGAGACACGAAAGCGUGGGUAGCAAACAGG